rnacentral:lncRNA from 1 species
UAAAGAGUUGAAGGAAAUGGAGAUGGUGAGAACUUUGACCAGAGACUGAUUUACCUAAAUUACCGAAGACUCAUAGAAUGGAACACUACGCAGCUGUAAAAAUGAGGCAUCAGUUUGUGUACUGAAAUGGAACAAUCUCUAAGGACAUAAUUCUACAGGUCGAGGAGUUUCGCAGACAUAACUCCUUGGGAGCAGUGCCCAGGUCAAGAAAGAAAAUGUGGCCAAUGCCCCAGGAUCUUAUUUGGUCAUCCAGGCUGGACUGCAGUGGUGUGAUCAUAGCUCACUGCAGCCUCAAACUGCUGGACUCCAGUGAUCUUCCAGCCUCAGCCUCCCCCGGUAGCAAGGACUACAGGUCUCACUCUCUGUCGCCCAGCCUGGAGUGCAGUGGCAUCAUCUGAGCUCACUACAACCUCCGCCUCCCGGGUUCAAGCGAUUCUCCUGCCUCAGCCUCCUGAGUAGCUGGGACUACAGGCACGCGCCACCACGCCCAGCUAAUUUUCGUAUUUUUAAUAGACAUGGGGUUUCACCAUGUUGGCCAGGCUGCUCUUGAACUGCUAACCUCAAGUGAUCCACCAGCGUUGGCCUCUCAAAGUACUAGGAUUACAGUGCUAGGAGCCACCAUGCCCGGCCGCCUCUCUUUUCUUUUACACAUGAAGAAAAAGUGGUCAGAGAAGUUAACUUGGUCAGUGCCAAAAGCACUGGAAGUGAGUAGGACCAAGCUUUUCAUCUAGAUUUGUUUGUUAGACUCUAAAUCCAAAUUCACAACAAGAUCAGAAUAUGAGAAACCUAAGGAACAAAAUUCUAGGAAUCAUUUCUAGAAACUGUGGCUAUUGAAAAAGCACAGACCUAGGGAAUCAAAUUAUUUUCCCUGCCACCAGCACAUGGGUAGGCCUGUGACAAAUUCCAUGCUCUGGACCCCAGAUUCCUCAGUGAGAAUAGAAGGGGCUAGAGACAUCAGGGAAUUGGAUUUGGUGACUUUAAUACCCACUCAGCUCCAAAGCAUUCUUGAAUGAUGCACGAUUUAUGAAUAUAUAUAUUGAAAUUUACUGAUGGGUGAACAGCUCUCAACAUGAGAUUUUUGUUGUAUGCCUUAAAAAAGAUUAUACAUAAAUAUGCGUGUGUGUGUGUAUGUAUGUUUCGAUGUAUAUGAACCCAUGAUCUGAAAAAUGGCCACUGUGGCUUGUGGAAACCUAUUAAUCUCUGCUGUUCCACCCAACAUCCUCAGAGAAAAAAAUAAACAACUUUUUGAAAGUGCUGCCAUGGGGUCAGACCAAAUACUGUGGCCACUUCCAAGGGGUUUGCCUUGAUUUGCCUGGAUUCCUGUUCAUGUGACAUCUGCCUUCUAAUUCAAGGAUAUGAUCAAUUCAAUGUGUGAGUUAUCAAUCAAGGACUGGCAACAGUGAUGCUGAACAAGCCUGGUGGAAGGAAAGAGAAGGCAGGCCAGAGCCCAGACAGACGCAUUCACAAACCUUACAAAGAGGACAGGCUAAUUAGGGGCUGUAGUUCUCCCUCUCUUUAUAGUUGGUAUAAGAGGAGUGGUAAUCGUAGUGUCCAAAAAUAUAUGGGCUACAUAGUUGCUUAGUAAGCUGUGGGUAUGUGGUUUCUUCUGCAAGGUGCUUUCUUUCUGAUAAAGAGAUUACGUUGUUUGUUUGUUCAUUUAUUGAACAUAUUUACACUUACACACACACACACACACACACACAAUGUUCCAGAUACCGUACUUGGCAAUGGUAGUUAGACCUUGCUCUUGCAAAAUUUAUAAUGAAGUUGGGAAGUGUGGUUUGAUCCCUCAAAGUGUCCAAAUCCUAAUCCCCAG